rnacentral:lncRNA from 1 species
AUGUGUGGCCUUGAGGAUAACCUGCACUGGUCUACCUUCUGCUUUCCUGGAAAGGAUGAAAUUGCAUCAUUUGAUGAGCCUAUUUCAAGUUUUUUGUUGUUUGUUUGCUUUUUUUUUUUUUUGCAGCUUAAAAUAAAAAUGUCAUACAUAAUUUUAGUUCUCACAGGAUAAUGUCUUAAUUUUGUACUAAUUCAGGUUAGGAGCAGAGGCAUAACUCUAAGUAAGGAUAUGCCUAGUUUACCAUAUUAUUAAAAGGGUGCCAACUUUGAAAGAGGUUUUUUUGGAACCGAUAAUAAGAAAGUGCUAAGAAAAGAAAGUAGACAAACUCUUAAAUGUUGUGGUUGGGUUUUUAUAAAAAAUUAAAUUUUAUUUACUUUGGGUUAGAAGUAAACAGAAAGCCCUUAGCCUCUGAUUUGUUGUAAUUCUUAUUGCUUAAGUAUGAGUAUAUCAUUUACCCAUGCUUCUGUUUACUUUGUAUUAAGAUGGGUAGUACUGUUCACUUAACUACCUCACAGAUAUGUUAAGGCGUAUUAAGUUGAAUCUUAUGAACUGUUUCUCAGUCUCAUUAAAAGCUCAAAAAUUUGGGCCUCUCUUUACCACCAGUGUGAUAUUUAGCAUUUUAUUCAUGCCAGGCUUUGAUAAUUAAACUGGAAAAUGAAGUUUAAACACCUGUUCUGGAUCAGACCAGACAAAACUUUUUAGAUCUUUGUGUGGCUUCUGUUUUAGUGAAAGUGGGUGGGAUGGAGAAUGAACUAUGUCAAAAGGUCCAGGGUUGGUUUUUUGUCGUCCCCCCCCCCCAGAUAUUUUAGAUGACUAUAUUAUAGUAAAUAUUAUAGGGAUCAUGGGAUUAAAGUGGUAAUAAGGCCAUGGGGAGGAUGCCAUUAAGUUUGAGACUUGUAGAGCCACAUUUAAAAUACCUCAGGCUAAUUACUGUUAAUUUUGGGGGGUAAACUUUUUUGGACAGGGUAGACUUAUUGGAUUGUAAUUAGAGGGUCUGGAGUUCCUGCUGUUAAUAAAAUUACAUUGAAUUCAUUUUUAGAAGUGAUG